UACGUAGGUGGCAAGCGUUGUCCGGAAUUAUUGGGCGUAAAGCGCGCGCAGGUGGUUCUUUAAGUCUGAUGUGAAAGCCCACGGCUCAACCGUGGAGGGUCAUUGGAAACUGGGGAACUUGAGUGCAGAAGAGGAAAGUGGAAUUCCAAGUGUAGCGGUUGAAAUGCGUAGAGAUUUGGAGGAACACCAGUGGCGAAGGCGACUUUCUGGUCUGUAACUGACACUGAGGAGCGAAAGCCAGGGGAGCAACGGG
rnacentral:rRNA from 1 species